rnacentral:lncRNA from 1 species
CAAAUAAAGGGUAGGCUGGGGGGCUGUGGGUCUUGGUUGUAGGAUCUGUUUAUCAACACUCCAAACUGAGACCGUGAGGUCUCCUCAGGAUGGUGACCCUGUCUGAGGGAAGCUGAUGAAGCCCUACAGGAGGGAGAUCUGAGUCAUGAGAGCCUUCUCAUGGAAACUUACUUCCUGGCCUCCUUUUUGCUGCACACUGAGAACAGAAGAUGAACUAGGACGUGGUGGAGGGAAACUGCAAUGGAAGCUUGAAAAGGAAAAGCUUUCUGCAUCCAGCAGCUGGGAAUGGAGGAAUCCUGGAACUUUAUGCUGCAGAAGCUCAGAGACAACAAUAAAGGUUCUCCCCCCUCCCCCCCUCCAAAGAGCAAGUAUAUAUAUAUAAAGUAGUUAUCUCUUCAAACAAACACGUGGGGGAUGGGAGGGUCAAAAUCCCAGGAGGCAAGUGCUGAAUUGGCUGAAGCUCCAGCAAGAAGAAGGAGACGCCUGGGUAUGCAGACCUGGCUGUACCACCAGCUUGGUAAGCUGGAAGCAGUGGGAAGAAGCCUAACCAGGUGGUGUUCACACAGGUGUGGUUUGUGACUUGGCCUUGUUUGCAUUGCUCUCUGAAACACUACAUGACAUGGCAUGGACCUGAAUGCAGCACAUAGGGUCAUUGCUCCCCAUAGGACUGGCCAUAGACACCAGC